rnacentral:rRNA from 1 species
UAGAGUUUUGAUCAUGGCUCAGAUUGAACGCUGGCGGCAUGCCUUACACAUGCAAGUCGAACGGUAACAGGUCUUCGGAUGCUGACGAGUGGCGAACGGGUGAGUAAUACAUCGGAACGUGCCCGAUCGUGGGGGAUAACGAAGCGAAAGCUUUGCUAAUACCGCAUACGAUCUACGGAUGAAAGCAGGGGACCGCAAGGCCUUGCGCGAACGGAGCGGCCGAUGGCAGAUUAGGUAGUUGGUGGGAUAAAAGCUUACCAAGCCGACGAUCUGUAGCUGGUCUGAGAGGACGACCAGCCACACUGGGACUGAGACACGGCCCAGACUCCUACGGGAGGCAGCAGUGGGGAAUUUUGGACAAUGGGCGAAAGCCUGAUCCAGCCAUGCCGCGUGCAGGAUGAAGGCCUUCGGGUUGUAAACUGCUUUUGUACGGAACGAAAAGACUCUGGUUAAUACCUGGGGUCCAUGACGGUACCGUAAGAAUAAGCACCGGCUAACUACGUGCCAGCAGCCGCGGUAAUACGUAGGGUGCAAGCGUUAAUCGGAAUUACUGGGCGUAAAGCGUGCGCAGGCGGUUAUAUAAGACAGAUGUGAAAUCCCCGGGCUCAACCUGGGAACUGCAUUUGUGACUGUAUAGCUAGAGUACGGCAGAGGGGGAUGGAAUUCCGCGUGUAGCAGUGAAAUGCGUAGAUAUGCGGAGGAACACCGAUGGCGAAGGCAAUCCCCUGGGCCUGUACUGACGCUCAUGCACGAAAG